UUAGGCUCAUUCUGGGGCCAUUUUGGGCUCAUUUAGGGUCACUUUUGGUCAAUAUUUGCCCAUUUUGGGCCCAUUUGGGGUCAUUUUUGGCCCAAUUAUGCCCAUUUUCAGCCCAUUUUUNNNNNNNNNNNNNNNNNNNNNNNNNUAUGGGGUUAUAUGGGGGGGAUAUGGGGUUAUAUGGGGUUAUAUGGGGCUAUAUGGGGGGUUAUAUGGGCUGUUAUGGGGUUAAAUGGGGCUAUAUGGGUCUAUAUGAUACUCUAUGUGUCUCUAUGGGUCUCUAUGUGUCCCUAUGGGUUUCUAUAGGGUCUCUAUGGGUCCCUAUGGGUUUCUAUGGGGUCCCUAUGUGUCUCUAUGGGGUUUCUAUGGGUCCCUAUGUGUCCCUAUGUGUCUCUAUGGGGUCCCUAUGUGUCUCUAUGGGGUCCCUAUGUGUCUCUAUGGGGUCCCUAUGUGUCUCUAUGGGGUCCCUAUGUGUCCCUAUGUGUCUCUAUGGGUUUCUAUGGGUCCCUAUGUGUUUCUAUGGGGUCCCUAUGUGUCUCUAUGGGUCCCUAUGGGGUCUCUAUGGGGUUUCUAUGGGUCUCUAUGUGUCUCUAUGGGUCUCUAUGUGUCCCUAUGUGUCUCUAUGGGUCCCUAUGGGGUCCCUAUGUGUCUCUAUGGGUCUCUAUAGGUCUCUAUGGGUCUCUAUGGGGUUUCUAUGGGGUCUCUAUGGGGUCUCUAUGGGUCCCUAUGGAUCCUUAUGGGUCUAUAUGGGUCACUAUCGGUCCCUAUGGGUUUCUAUGGGGUUUCUAUGGGUCUCUAUAGGUCUCUAUGGGGUCUCUAUGGGUCCCUAUGGGUCCCUAUGUGUCUCUAUGUGUCCCUAUGGGGUCCCUAUGGGUCCCUAUGGGUCUCUAUGUGUCCCUAUGUGUCUCUAUGGGGUCCCUAUGGGUCCCUAUGUGUCCCUAUGUGUCUCUAUGGGGUUUCUAUGGGGUCUCUAUGGGUCCCUAUAGGUCUCUAUGGGUCUCUAUGUGUCCGUAUGGGUCCCUAUUGGUCUCUAUGGGUCUCUAUGGGUCCCUAUGGGUCUCUAUGUGUCCCUAUGGGUCCCUAUCGGUCUCUAUGGGUCCCUAUGGGGUUUCUAUGGGGUUUCUAUGGGUCUCUAUGGGGUUUCUAUGGGGUCCCUAUAUGUCUCUAUGGUUCCCUAUGGGGUCUCUAUGGGUCCCUAUGGGGCAGCCCCCCACCUUAAUCCCAGCACUCCUGCAUUUCCCAACAGCAUCUGGCACAGCAGCACGAGGAGGGUCAAUCAUAGACAUGAGCCCCACGAAACACAAAUUGUCGGUGGCGAAAUUGACGUCGUCGCAAUCGAAAGCGAAACCUUUGGGGUAUUGAUCCUCGGGGAGGUAGAAGUGGCAAAAGCCUGUAAGAAGAAAAUGGGGAGGGGGGCGAGGUGAGACCCCUCCCCAUAUUAAACGCUAUAGGUUAAACUGCGCUACUGCAGCGCCAUCUAGUGGCCACUAAUGGAACUGCAGGUAUAUAGCGCCAUCUAGUGGCCAUUAAUGGAACUGCAG
rnacentral:lncRNA from 1 species